rnacentral:sRNA from 1 species
UCCAGUACUUAUGUGCCCCUCCGAUUGUC